ensembl:snRNA U6 U6 spliceosomal RNA
UUGCUCACUUUGGCAGCACAUAAUACUAAAAUUGAAAAGAUACAGAGAUUAGCAUGGCCCUGGAGCAAGGAUGACACACAAAUUUGUGAAGCUUUCCAUAUUUAA